AUGCUUUACAUAAUCACUACAAUUGCUGCUAUCAGAAUGGCCCCGAAUAAGUUGGAAAAGAAGCUAAGGAAGGAAGCAAAGAGAAAGAAAACAAUACAAUGGAAAAGAACAGUGUUAAAGAAAAGACAGAAACAGACAACCCUAGACCACUUUUUAGUUCUGAAAAGGUGGGGACCUAAGGAGCCAGAAGCAGGUCCCAGUGGGCCACAGACUCUCCCAAGGAGAGAAAGAGCAGCAGAGAGUCGGAUUCCCAAAGUUCUUAUGAAAGGGGAUCUGCUUCCGAACAAUAACCACCUUCCGUGUCAUCCUCCCUUCCUGCAAGCCAGAGCUGUCAACCUGAAUGUGUACAGUCACCGUCUGCAUGCUUCCACAUUCAAUUUUACGACUUCCAGGAAGGUGAUGGAAUGGUGAACAGCAGAGAAACAGCCUCUCUGCAAAUUGUUGUUCAAAUGUGGGAAUACAGCAAUGUGACGAACAGAAGAGAGAAGUGGGCUCCACAACUCACAAGGACCUGCAGUGAGAACAGAAUCACACGAGGAGAGCAAAGAGAGAGACCUCAGCAAAGGAGGAGAUGGCAAGUGGCACUUUCUCCCUGAGCCCUGACUCACUGCCUGGGAGGGGCGGCUCAGACUUGUGGACAGUGACUCCUGGCAACCCCAGGGGCUCCCACAGAGAAACACACCAGUGGGAAAGAGCAGUGGACAUAGCAGACUGCUGUGGCUGGUGAGUUAUUCAGGCUCAGGCUGAACUCCCUCCCCAAAAGAGGGCAGUUGGCCAGUAGCCACCUUGGAGAGCGGCCAGCUAAACUCAGAACUCUGAGCAGCUGUGGCCUGUCUCCAUUGAGUGUCCCCAGUGUCACUCAACAGAACCAAAUUCAACCCAGCAAGAGGUACAUGCAGUAUUGCAGGCUGAACAAAUCAGGUUCCAGCCUCAAAGCCGGAAACCAGUCUGAACUUCUGUGAAACUAAAGGUGCAGGCUUGCUGGAAUUCCCCACCACCCCACGGUAAACCUACAGAUGGCUUGCUGUGUCA
rnacentral:lncRNA from 1 species